ensembl:snRNA U4 U4 spliceosomal RNA
AGCUUUGCGCAGUGGCAGUAUCGUAGCCAAUGAGGUUUAUCCGAGGCGCGAUUAUUGCUAAUUGAAAUAUCCACUUUGUAGGACAAAUAAUAAUGUGAUUGAAUGUAUAUAAGAAAAUGAA